AGCUUUGCGCAGUGGCAGUAUCGUAGCCAAUGAGGUUUAUCCAAGGCGCGAUUAUUGCUAAUUGAAAACUAAAAUGUCUGUUAAUCUUUUAAUGUAACUUUUCAUUUUUUUAUUAAAAAAUUUUUAAUAUUUAUUUUUGAG